GCCGCCGUAGCUCAGCCUGGUUAGAGCGCCGGCCUCGUACUAGCCGGCGGUCGCGGGUUCGAAUCCCGCCGGCGGCU
rnacentral:tRNA from 1 species